rnacentral:rRNA from 1 species
GCGAACAGCUCAGUAACACGUGGCCAAGCUACCCUGCAGAGGGGGACCGUCGGGAAACUGACGGGAAUCCCCCAUACCGGUCUCACGCUGGAAUGCCGAGACCGACAAACGCUCCGGCGCUGCAGGAUGCGGCUGCGGCCGAUUAGGUAGUCGGUGGGGUAACGGCCCACCGAGCCGAUAAUUGGUACGGGGUGUGAGAGCACGAGCCCGGAGACGGAAUCUGAGACAAGAUUCCGGGCCCUACGGGGCGCAGCAGGCGCGAAACCUUUACACUGCACGAAGGUGCGAUAAGGGGACUCCGAGUGCGAGGGCAUACAGUCCUCGCUAUUGUGUACCGUAGGGUGGUACACGACCAAGAGCUGGGCAAGACCGGUGCCAGCCGCCGCGGUAAUACCGGCAGCUCGAGUGAUGGCCGAUUUUAUUGGGCCUAAAGCGUCCGUAGCUGGCCCUGCAAGUCCGUCGGGAAAUCCACUCGCCUAACGAGUGGGCGUCCGGCGGAAACUACAGGGCUUGGGACCGGUAGGCGUUGGGGGUACUCCAGGGGUAGCGGUGAAAUGCUAUAAUCCCUGGGGGACCGCCAGUGGCGAAAGCGCUCAACGAUGCCGGAUCCGACGGUGAGGGACGAAAGCCAGGGGCGCAAACCGGAUUAGAUACCCGGGUAGUCCUGGCCGCAAAGGAUGUGGGCUAGGUGCUUGGCGUUCCUCGAGAACGUUAGGUGCCGAAGGGAAGCCGUUAAGCCCACCGCCUGGGAAGUACGGCCGCAAGGCUGAAACUUAA